GGAGCACCCCAGGGCCCAGGCGCUUGCAGGGAAUACAAGAAAACCAGGUCUGCGUCAGUCCAGUCCAUCUUGUGCUAAGACCUCCUUUCCUCAUCAGCUCAUCUGAGCGUUGCAGCUGGCGAGGACUUGGGAAAUCAAAUCCAAGCGGUCCCCUUUCAGAGGAGAGUGACUGAGGGGACCCAGCUCAGGUGACCCAGCCAGGUGCUCAGAGAAUUUAAGAAGUGCAACAUGGCCAGGGGCUGUCUCUGCUGCUUGAAGUACAUGAUGUUCCUCUUCAAUUUGAUAUUCUGGCUCUGUGGCUGUGGACUGCUUGGAGUGGGCAUCUGGCUCUCUGUGUCCCAAGGCAACUUUGCCACCUUCUCCCCCAGUUUCCCCUCGCUGUCUGCAGCCAACCUUGUCAUCGCCAUAGGCACCAUCGUCAUGGUGACGGGUUUCCUGGGCUGCCUGGGGGCC
rnacentral:lncRNA from 1 species